rnacentral:tRNA from 1 species
GGGGGAUGUAGCUCAGCCGGGAGAGCGCCUGCCUUGCACGCAGGAGGUCAGCGGUUCGAUCCCGCUCAUCUCCACC